UAGGGAAUCUUCGGCAAUGGACGAAAGUCUGACCGAGCAACGCCGCGUGAGUGAAGAAGGUUUUCGGAUCGUAAAACUCUGUUGUUAGAGAAGAACAAGGACGUUAGUAACUGAACGUCCCCUGACGGUAUCUAACCAGAAAGCCACGGCUAACUACGUGCCAGCAGCCGCGGUAAUACGUAGGUGGCAAGCGUUGUCCGGAUUUAUUGGGCGUAAAGCGAGCGCAGGCGGUUUCUUAAGUCUGAUGUGAAAGCCCCCGGCUCAACCGGGGAGGGUCAUUGGAAACUGGGAGACUUGAGUGCAGAAGAGGGGAGUGGAAUUCCAUGUGUAGCGGUGAAAUGCGUAGAUAUAUGGAGGAACACCAGUGGCGAAGGCGGCUCUCUGGUCUGUAACUGACGCUGAGGCUCGAAAGCGUGGGGAGCAAGCAGG
rnacentral:rRNA from 1 species